CUUUGGGUUUGUGUUUGGGAGUGCUUUGGUUUUCUGGUUCAAAAACCUAAGAGGAAAAACAUACAUUUAUUAGUACUUUGUAAUAGCUUCCAUAACUGUUGCCCUACAGUGACAUUAUAUAUCUGUGGUGAAAUGUUGUCAGUGCUGUGAUAGAUAAAUCAAACAUUUUCAUGCAUACAGAUAUUAUAAAAAUAUGAAAAAAUAUUUUGUGUACCACAGUGUCAGCUUGGUUGAAUGCGGCUGUGUUCCUUGUUGUAAUGAUAAUUUCAGUGUCAGAGUUUGAGGUAUCAUCCACUUCUUUAAAAAAAGAAUAAUUCGACAGAUCAUGUAGAUACUGUGGGUGUAUUCUUCAGUAGAGUACCCAAAAUAUAAUAAUAAUGAAAUCCACUAACCUCCUUUGAAAUCUUUUUCCAGGCAAAUGAAAAAGGUGAUCCUGCCAUAUGGCCUCCCUAGUUCCUUUUUAUAUUCGGACAGUUUAAAUGGUCUUUCUGACCCAGGCACAUGGACCACCUCUGAACAGUCAGGAUAUAAAAGGACAUACGGCCCUUCCGGCAUUGUCCUUGUUAAAUGUUAUCAUUUUCUGGACAGCUUGUUUCAGUACAUCAGGUGCUUCUACCUCUGGGUCAACCAAUAAUGGGAGUGUUUUCCCUCCCCAAGGUUUUAAACCAGUUACAUCAGUUCCAUUUAGCACCAUCAGUCCAAUGUUUAUCUAAAAUGGGAAAGAUAGAGUUACCUAUUACAUAAACAUAUAAAACACAAAUAUAAAUGAUAAUAAUAAUAAUAAUGCAUCAGAUUUCAUAUAGCGCUUUAUCAGAGACCCUCAAAGCGCUUUACAUUGGAUACAUCAUUCAUUCGCUCACACAGUCACACUUUGGUGGUGGUGGUGGAAACAUGGCUGCCAUUCUGCACCUACGGCCUCUCCGACCACCACCACACAACACUCACAAUCAUACACCAGUGGAGGACACACACUGGGAGCAAGGUGGGUUAAGUGUCUUGCCCAAGGACACAACAGACAGACUUGGAUUAGGGGGGAAUCUAACCGCCAACCUUCCGGUUAUUGGACGACCGCUCUACCUCCUGAGCUACUGCCGCCCCAUAUAUACAUCAGUGUUUCUCAUCAAUUUUGGAGAAUGUGGUGUUGUUCCAUGUCUAUUUUGUGUCACCACAGUUUGAUAGUGUCAGAUAACUACACUCCAAAUUAUCCAAUUACUGUACCCAGUGGUGUUACGCACAUAUGCCUUCAUCAAAGACAUUUUUUUCCCUCUUAACUUGAUUUGAUCUGUGCAAUACAUCUCUCAUGACACAGUAAUGUUAACAGAUCCAGUCACCACGAGUUAGGCAGUCGGGUAUGGAUAAGCUACGAUGAUUUGCAACCUACUUGGACAUGUUUGCGUUGUGUAGCUCAAUCUUUCCCUCUCAACCCGCAGUUAAAAGACUGGCGAUCUUUUGACUUGGAGCUUCUGUACUCCAGGACUGCUUGUAUGAUUGGCAAGGUUUUUCUGCUAAAAUGAACAAAGCUUCCUGUCAAAAUAGAAAGAUAGCAACCGCUAACCAAUUCCUCCAUUCACUCCAUUUUGUAAAAGUGUUUUCUGUUUUGUUAAUUUGUUUUCUGAAAUGUAAUUUUUUUUUGGAUCCUGUAUUCUUGGUUUGCACCUCCAGGCCACUGUAUAUAAUAAAGGAUAAUGAUAAAAUUUAAAUGUUCUAUUCUAAAAUUGAUAUUCUUGUUUUGUUUGUCAGUUUUUUUAAUUCAGGCUUGACAGUUUUGGCGUGAUCAUGCUGAGCUAACGUUAAGCUUCUGUAAAGAAUGUCAUGUUAAUGUUUACUUUGGCACUCCCUGUGGACAAAGUGUUUUUUUGUUGACUUUGUGAAUCACUGUUUUUUGAACCAAAAUCUCAUCUUGAUAUCUCCCAGUUGCAGAUACCAGAGUCAUGGAGCUGCAGUAAAGUCAGCUCACUCUGCCCAGUAUCAGGCUCCAAAAAUACAGCCAUAUUAGCUACAAAGCUCUGCUAGCUGUUAGCUUCUAGCAUUAUGCUCCAGACAUCCUAAAGAAGCUACACAAAACCCCCGCUCAGGUCUCCAGGGGUUAUGAGAGUAUUACUAUGUCAGAAUCCAGCUCUGAGUUUCCUGACUGCUGUAAUUUGAAUGUUGCUCCCUGAUAUCAAACAAUGCUACCUUCUCAUCUUGUCCUCCUCUUCACUGUCCUGUUCGGAACAAAACUGUCUCUCUCAGCACCCCCAAAGGCUUGGAGCACUAAUGUAGUGUUCUUCGCAGUUGCUUUCUGCAUUUGAGUUUUUUUAUUUUGUUUUGUUUGUGUACUUGCAGCACUUUUGCUGUUUAUGCAGUUGUUGUGACCUUUUGCAUCACAUUCUUACAUUUGCAGCAUGUUUUUAAAUUUGCAGUGUAUUCGAACCAUUGUGUUUAUUUUGGACUUUUUUGUUUCUCCUAUUGAAGAAUGUUCAGACCGUUGACUGUCAGCCCCUGUAGAUAGAAUUUUAUUGUCAUUUUGACAAACACAACAAAAUUAAAAAGCGCCUUGACAGUCAGUGCAUUAAAACUGUACUGCAUUAACUGUAGUUAUUGUCAAACCUGUCAUUUAUCAAGAACAUGUAAAAAUGCCUGUAGUGUGUUUGUAAGCACGUAGUAUGACACCCUUCUUCUGCCAGUGGUCUUAGACAUGAAAAAUGGAGAACAGUCACUCUUCUUGUUGAUGAUCUUGUUUGUACAUUUUGAUCCUAAAAAGAAGAUAUUCGAUUUCAUCACCUACUAAAAUCUCCUCCCAUGAACUUGAAGCACUUUGGGGUAAACAGGGUUGAAGUGUGAACUCAUCAUAGCACCUCAAUCUAAACAGAGCUCAAUGAUAAUUCAGAUGUACCCAUAGACUGUAUAUAAGAUGGACAGAGUCUGCCUCCUUGCUGGGUGAAGCCACUCCGAGAACAGCACCCUCUGAUGGUGGGCUGCAGUACAGGUCAUAAAUCCUGCCUCCGCCAGCAAAGCUUAUGGGACUGUGGACAAACUUUAGAAAUGUAUUACACAGAACAUAAAUUUUUCUACCCCCUGCUUGUGAUGUUGACAUGUAGUUAUUGUAAGACUGGUUUGUGCCCAAGUCCUUUUUUUUUCUGUACAGCUCCGUUUUUAAAAGUUAUUAGGGGGUUCAUGUUUACUAUGAUUGACACCUGGUACAGCCUAUGGGCGUUCAGGGAUUGCGUAGCUCUCCCGGGGGGAUACGCUGUUUGAGCCGAGCGUCAUCACAGGGACUCUCGGCGACUGCGCGGCCGAAUGCGUGCAUCGCUACUGCGCAGCUCUAGUUUCAAGGAAGAGGAGAAAAACCUGGAAUUACCGAGAGCUUUUUGGCUUCAAAUCCGUAUACAGGCGGAAGGCGGAACCAGGUUGUCCAUCUUAUAUACAGUCUAUGGAUGUACCACAGAAAAACCCUAAUAACUUCUUUAAGCUGCCAAUUGUGAUAUUUUUAAGAGUUAUAAUUCAUGCAUUAGCCAAAUGGAAAUUGGCAAAGAAGUCUAGAUAUAAGAGAAACUGUGAUCCCUUUUGUUUCACCUGAAAGCGGUGUGACCAUUACACCUGUAUAGUGCUAUAGCCUGAAGAUGGUGCAAUAAUCCAGCUGAAACUCUGUGAUGGAUAUCACCACCAUGACCACUGUUCAGUGUGCUGGACUACACAGCAUCACAGACCAGACUGUGGGUACAACUUUAUACGUUUUGUUUAUAUCUUGUUCGGUGAUAGUCAUGCAUUCAUGUGAGCUGAGCUCAACCAGCACACUUGUAGUUGGCAUGAUUGCAACCUCUAGGUGAUAAUGGAUUAAGUUGUGCACUUGUUGGGCCCUCUAUUAAGGUGAAACUGCACAGUGAGGUGAUUCAAUCCCUUUUUUAUUCUGUCUGCCCCCAAAUACAGAUGGUCUUUAUACAACUACACCCUAUAGAUUUUAGUAAGAGACGGAUGCAACUGGAUCCACCGUUCUUCCAUAUAAACACAAGGGUCUUUUUAAGGAGGUGUCAAAAGUACAAAUGUUGUAGUUAUAGAGGUGCAGUGCAGCCGUAAACAUGCUGAUUAACAUCUUAAUCAAUGUUCUAUACAGGCUGAAUAUACUGUAUCUACUGUAGCUUCAGCAUGACUGCAGGACUGCUCUCUGCAUUUGAGCAUUGUGACACAAGGUGCAGCCAAUUUCUUGUUAGCUCACCUCGUCCAGCUGAAAGACAAGAAAAAAAAAAAAAAGCAGAGAAAGAAGAAGUCUGUGUAAUGGAUCCCCAUUAUAACUUCAUGUAUUAUAGCAGACUUGAGUUUUAUGAGCUUUUAACAAGUUUCCCAGGGGUUGCAAUAAUUUCUGCGGUUUAUUUUCGGAACAUUUACUUUUUCUGGUCCGUAAACGAUCGCUAUGGGCCUUUCGCUCUCAAGCCCACUUUUGCUCCAUCUCAAUCCAGUUUCACACUCCUUCUUUGGGGCACUUUACUGUUGUUGGAUGGUGCUUUGGUCAGAGCCAACGUCAAUCCUCAAAUUUCCACAGCCCCUGUUCCAGCUCACCUCAGUAGGGUCAAUGCAGCUUGAUUGACAUUCAUUACAUAAAACGUUACAAUGAACAUGGAAAGCAUGGCCGAAUAGUGACAGACAGCAGCAUCUACCAAAAGAGCAAAACACAACACUUGGAGGUUUCUGGCCUGUCAGUGUCUUUGUCAGAGCAUACCUUGUCAGCUACAACAUGUACCUGAGUGUCAUGGUCUGGCAUCAGAACACCAUUCCCCAGUCCCUCUGUCUGGCUGUUAUUUCACAAAGCCUGUAAGAUUACCAGAAAUUACAUCCAUAUGUGGGAAAACACAUAGAGAGUACAAGAGAGAGAGAGCACAGGGAGGGUGUAAAACAGGACGUCCACCCUCAUCUGUAUCCACUAUAGUGUAUCCACUAUAGUUCUGCUAUGACAAGUACUUUCUUUUGAUUUAAGCCUGAAAAGACAUCAUAGUCUCAUAGAAACCAUUCUUUUAAUUACUUCUGAAUCUACAUGUCAUGCUUUCAUCAUGUCCUGAUCAUCUUCUGACUCUGAACCCCUUUCCUCUUAGCUUCUUACUCUCAUCUCAGCUCCCAUGCUUCUUCUCCAUCCUCCACACUGCGUCAUGUUAGCACUGUGCGAGUCCACAGCAGUUUGUCUGACAGCCAAAGUGUAAUGCUACACCUCUGACCUGGGAGAGUAAGCAGUCUGCAGCUUUAGUCAGAGAAACACAUCUUAAAGCUGAGCAUGGCCAAGCUAAAAGGUGCAAUUAACUGAGUCGCAGCCUUCAGUGACAAUGCACAUAUAAUUUGCUUUAAGUCACAGCCACUAACUCCCUGUAAUUCUUUCACACUCUGCAGUAAAACAGUCUGUGCCAUCCCCUGUAGCAGCCUCAUCAUUCAUAAAAAGAGUGCAGGAGCCUCCCCAGCAAAAAAAACCUAGGCCUGCAGCAUGAAAUAAGCAUUAAGGCUUAACCCACACAGAGCUCUGCUCAUUAUAAUAUCAUGCUUACCUUGGCUUACCUUCUAAUAUAAGAAUCAGAAAGUUCUAUUCCCCUCUUUGUGGUUUGUCUCAGCUGCUUUUCUUCCACUUAUUGAUUAAUUUCUUCUAGGAUUGUAAAUUAAAUGUUGCUCAUAACUCAAGAGUUUUUCCUUAAUAAGAUGCAUUAUUUGGGCAAACAUUUCUGCCAAAGACUUAAUGUGACUUUAAAGAAAGAUGCUUCUACUUACUAAUACUCAAGAACCACUGCUCCUCCAAUCUAAAAAGUCCAGCAUGUUAUUUUCCAGAUACACUGAGGUUGUUGAAUAAGACUGCUUGGUAUUUAAACGGUUCAUGUCUCAUCAGAUCAGGGCGUUGACUGUAAUGAAGUGACUGUGCAGCAGGCCUGAGGGCUCUCACUGUGCAGAUCCCAGAGCACCUCCUUUUUUUGCAGACCUUACAGGAUGAAAAAAACACUUUCCUAGUUCAUCAGGGGGUAUUCCAUGAAGCUGGCUUGGCUCAAAGCCUGGCUUAUUUCGGUUAGCUUGGCUAAUUUUAGUGAGAGUUUGGUUCCACAAACGAGGCUUAGGGCUAGCGUGGCUUGGUAACCAUGGUAACUCAGGCAGGCUUAUGGUCAAGCUAACCUUAGCUGCGUCUCAGAGAAGGUUCAACAGGCUUCCAGAAGACGCUUUGUGAACCGCAUGUCACACAGUAAUUUCAUCUUUAUCUGUAAUAAAUGAUGCUCUUGUUCGUAAAAAUAAAUUGAAAGCUUUUUAAAACAACAAAGGAAUACAUAAAUCCAGACAUGCCCAAUACUACGCCAACCUCAAAGAGAAAGAGAAAUUCAGUAGCUGAGUGGGUAAAGAGAAGUGCCGGUAAAAUGUGUUUUUCACUGCUCUGUGGGUUCAAUCCCAUCAGCGGUAAUUAUUUGGAAAUACCUGAUUUUCUUCCUUUUAUUCUGUGACUCUCAAUGUACUGUCAACACAUAACAGAAUAAAGGCACAAAUGAUCUCAUCCAAAACACUGAAGGCAACAACAGCAACAAUUUCCCAUUAAAAAAACCUUCCUUUCACGAGUGGUCCAAUCUGAUUAUGAUGAUUAUAAUGUAAAGGUGAUGGCAAAUGAUGACAUGACUACUCUGUGUACAAGCUCAUUUAUGUCUUCUCCCUUUUUUUAAAUCAAGGGCGCUGUGCCACUAUCAUCCCUGAUAAAAAAAAUAAAAAUAAAAAAAAGACAUCUCCAUGUUUUUCUUCACUUUUUCUCUAAGUUUGCCUUCUUUGGUUUUAGGUCUUACCUGUAGCUGCUAUACUAAUCCAUUAUGGCUAUCUAUUUGUCAAAUCAAGAACAUGAAUUAUGCCUACAGUGAAUAAGGCCUAUAGUGAAUACACACACACACACACACACACACACACACACACACACACACACACACACACACACACACACACACACACACAGAGUAGUGUGAGCAGUUUCAGGGGGAAACAACCAUGCAAUGCCCGUUCAUUGAUGAGGAACCUGUGGAUGUUGGUGCUGCCAUCAUCCAAAGGGCUUUAAAUCUGCCGGCCCCCAGAAAUUUCCGGGACCGCACAAAGAGGUACAGAUUCAGUAGGCUGGGAAUUGUGUAUUUGUGCACACUGCUGGAGCCCCGCAUUGUGAGGCAAACCUGCCGGAGCAGAGCCCUGACCACUGUGCAGUCUGUCUGCAUUACCCUACUUUUUUUGCCAGUGGGACUUUUCUGUACAGUGUUGGUGAUGCAGAGACUCUGUCAAAGGCAACCGUGUGCCAGGAAAACCAGACACUAGAUCUCGCUCUAAAGAGGAACCUCAACAGCUUCAUCACUUUCCCUGGCCAUCUUGAGCCGCAGCGCAUCAAAGAAGAGUUUUAUUGAAUUGCAGGUAUGAGAUGAUCCUCAUGUGUAACUUUGCCUGCAGUAUGAUGUAUCUAUAUUAAGUUAUGACUCUCCUUCAGGCUUUCCUAAUGUUCUUGGAGUCAUGGACUGCACCCACAUCUGCAUCCGGGCCCCAUCUGGACCUGUGGAGGCAGACUUUGUUAAUAGAAAAUCUUUUCACAGCAUAAAUGUACAGGUAAAUCACAUUGUACCACCGUAACAGCAUAUAAAGCAAUGAAACAUGGAGCCAGAUUAGAAAUGUUAAAGUGUAAUGAUGCUUUAAUGUACAUCACGUUGAACACAGCUGCAUCUGUCAUUUCAUUUCACUGAGCAAUUUUAAAAAAAUACCCUUUCAAAUGAAGUUCCACACACUGAUGAUUAAAAUCAAAUCAAAUCAAAUUUUAUUUAUAUAGCGCCAAUUCACAACAGUCGUCAUCUCAAGAUGCUUUUCAAAAGACAAGAGCAGGUCUAGAUCACGCUCAUUGUUCGAUGAUCAAGAACCAACCUAAGAUGGGUUUUGGCCCAUCUCAACUAACAUGAGUAGCAUUGGCAAGGAAAAACUUCCUUUUAACAGGCAGAAACCUUGGGCAGGACCAGCCUCAUGUUAGACAGCCACCAUGCCGCUGCUGGGUUGGGAAGGAAUGUAGAGUGAUGGAGGGGGAGAGAGGAGAGAGAGAAGAGGGGAGAGGGCAGGGGGAGAGAGAACAAGAUAAGGGGAAGGAGAGAGAGAAUUAGUAAGGAGAGGGAGGGGGAGGGAGAGAGAGUAGAGAACGAGGGUGAGAGAGAGACAGGGACAGCAGAACAACAGCAACAACAAAAACAACUCACAAAAUGAGUUCAGUUUACAGGGUUAGGAUAUGAGUGAUUAUGAACAAUGAUAAAUGAAUUAAAUGUGAUUACAGUCAGCAGGCCUAAUAGUAGUCAGCUCUAGUUUUAUGUUAUUAAUGUCAGUGAGGCUGAUGUUCAUGUCUGCAGUAACAGUCCAGAGGAAUCCAAGAGAAGAAGGAGCUCAGGGCCUGAGGUGGACAAUCAUAGAUGAUGCGGCUAACAGUCCAGAGGAAUCCAAGAGAAGAAGGUGCUCAGGGCCUGAGGUGGACAAUCAUAGACGAUGUGGCUAGAGUCAGGCAGGUCUGCAGCAGCCAUCAGUCCGGAGCAACCAAGGAGCAGGGGGUGUUUGCAGCAACGGACCAGAGGAGCCUGAGAGAUGGAGGAGCUCAGGGCCCAAGGUGGACAAUCAGGGAUGAUGCAGCUGGGGUCAGGCAGUUCCGCAGCAGACCAUCUGCAGCAUUAGUCCAGUGGAGGCUAAGAGACUCAGAGAGAGAGAAAUCUGGUUAGUGACUUAUAUGGGACAAAAAGAUCUAAAGGGGAGAUAGAGACAGACUCUAGCUCAGUGUGCCAGAUAACCCCAGCAGUCUAGACCUAUAGCAGCAUAACUAAGAGCUGGUUCAAAUCAGCCCUGACUAUAAGCUUUAUCAAAGAGGAACGUUUUAAGUCUACUCUUGAAAGUUGAGAGGGUGUCUGCCCCCCGAACCUGGAGCGGUAAAUGAUUCCAGAGGAGAGGUGCCUGAUAGCUGAAAGCUCUUUCUCCAAUACUACUUUUAGAGACAUUUGGUACAACGAGCAGGAUUACCCUCCAUGCUGGCAGAUGAUCUGCAAUGGACAAUGCCUGAUCACAAACAUUGAGGCUAAAUGGCCAGGCUCUUUCCAUGACGCAAGAAUAUGGAGAGCGUCAUCACUGUCACAUAGGUUUGCACAAGGUAAGUCAAUGUAUGUGAAGCAGUUCUACUUUGCAAGUAAUGAAUAUUGCCUGGUCAUGGAUGUUAUCAUUUGCAAUAAAGGUGGAUGUUUUUUCUGCAGGGGAUUUUAACGGCAUCCUACUUGGGGGAAGAGGUUAUCCGUGCCUGCCCUAUCUUUUAACCCCAUACACCGAUCCCGCCACAGAUGCUAAGAGGGCCUACAACCGUGCCCACACAAGAACCAGGGCAUGAGUAGAAAUGCUUUUGGACAAUUAAAAUCUCGCUUUCAGUGCCUGCAAGGCCUGAGAGUGGCCCCUGACAGGGCCUGUGAUAUCAUUGUUGAAUGUGCAGUUUUGCACAACAUUGCCACCAUUCGUCACGAGAGACUGCCUACUGUGUUGGAGGAAGAGGGAUGGGAGAACAUGUGUGGAUGUGUGGAAGAGUCAGGGACCUUUACAAGGUCACCUAUUUCAGUUGAGCACUUUCAAAUGCAUUCAUUUUGAAUGUGUUCUUGUAGAUCAGUUUGGGGUUAUAUGGUGUCCUCCUCCUCCUCCCCACAGGCCCUUGUGGCAGAUGGUCCUUCACCCUGCAGAUUGAUGCACAUCAAAGUAUUUAAAGCAUGACAAGACAGACUUGCACUUAUAGAAUUCAAGAUACAUCUGACAUAUGCACACAUGGGUCAGGGAUGAUGUCAGCAUCUUGAGUUGGUGGGUCGAGCAAAUUUAUUGUGU
rnacentral:lncRNA from 1 species